CAUUCCUCACUAAGUGCUGUUAUUGCAGCCAGGGAGGAAUUAGUCACUAUUGCUGAUUUUCAGAACUGAAGUUCUACUCAGUCUUUAGAACCUGGACUUCUCUGAGUAGGAUUCUUGCUGUAUUUUAAUGAUCUGGAAGCUAACCAUCACUGUUUAACAAGUCUUUAGGCUCUUUCUGUGCUUGUAGAUAAAUAUGCACCUCCACCCUGAGACAGGAAUGUAAAAUAGACGGGCUGAUUUAGAAGAAUGUAGAUGAUUAAAGAUCAUGCUUAGGUAAGACUGAAUCCCAAUUUUUAUUUAAAUUCUCAUAGUUUCACCCCAAAAUGAACCUCUGACUAGUUCUGUAAGCAUAUGUUAAAGUGAGUAGCUGACUUUGGAUCUGUCAGUAAGGAAUUAUUGAGAGAGAACGUAGAAUAAAUAAUAGCCAUUGGAAAUAUUGAAUUCAAGUCUCUCCAUUCCAUAUUGAGUGUUCUGAUUACCAGCUUGUAGAGAAAUUUCUGUCUUUAUUUAGCCUGUAAUUAUUCUGUACUUUGAGAAACAAUUUUCAUAAGAGAAUGCCUUGUUCCAGACUAGGUUAUAGCCUGGUUACCAAAACUGUUUCCAUGAGACAGGUGCAUAUCUCCUCAGUCAAAAGACAUAAUGAACCUUACUGUCUUCUAUGUUAAAGGGGCCAGAAUUAUGCAAAACACAAGUGAAGCAUCACUUCCAGUUAAAGUACUCGAAAUCCUAGCUGCCACAAGAAAAGUGGUAUCUGAGCAGGGUUUUUGUAAGAUCUAAUUUACAUGUUUGAGAACUGCACUGAAAAUUCAGUGUUCACUCUCUUUGUGCAUCUGGCACAGUGCUUCUGCUGGCUUGGUCAUCUGCCUCAUUCUCAAGAUUUUUUCUAAGAUGUUCCUUCACCUCUGUCAGUUCCCCAAGGAAAGUUAUUUUCAAGUUUUGAUAUUAAGUCCAGUAGAGAUUCCAUACUGGUAAGGAUAUUUUCAAUGUGUCUCAUAACUAAUGGGUGAUUCUUUAUUUAUAUCUUGAUAAAGCCUUAUUUCCUCUGUCUGUGUUAGGAUUCAAAGAAAAAUUAAAAGUCUGUUUCAAUUCUUGAUGUUUAAACAUGGCAUUAGCAAAACUUAUCUUUUUCUCACUACAAGCUCUUUUGUAUAUAGCAUUGAAUGUAUUUAUACUUCCAUUCUAUUGUUUAUUAAUAAAUGCAGAUAAAUAGUGGUAAACUAAACUGGCAUCUAUUGUGAUAAACUGAGACAGUACAAUAGUACUGCAAGCUAACUGUUACCCUUUUCUUCCCAUCUUGGUAUUGCAGUCUAGAAUUACCCUCUGGAAGGAUCCCAGUAAGACAGGUUGGAAUAUAGAAUUAACAGAAGGAAAUGACUUAUCAUUUGCUUUAUGAUGCUACUCUAAAUUCUCUGUCUAUUGACAGUGAGGGUAAAACUGGAUUUUUCUUUCUCAGAUACAUAUAAGGCUAUAACUAAUACAAUGAUUUUCUUAUUCUACAGUAUUUGUACCCUGCUUUCAAGGUCUACUAAGCAACUUUACUUUUUGCUGUUAUGACCAUUUUUAAAAAUUGUAUUUUUGUUAUCUAAAACCUUACAGAGUGAUAUUUGCACCCAUUUAAUUGUGUGACUAGAUGUAUUCAGGCACUAAUUUAAUUUCUAUUUUUCUUGAGGUCUAGCAAAUAGUAAACUCUGAGUUGGUUUUGGAUUUCAUAAGUAUUUGUGUGUGUCCUUACUUUCUUGGAAGCCCAUCAUGGACAGCUUAAAUAUGUGUACCAAAUUAUUUAUACAGAGGACUAUUAGUAUGACUUUGAACUAAUUCCCAUUUUCCUGCUAAACAAAAAGAAUAAUUGGGCAUCUUGAUAAAGUAUUAUUUACCACUGAGGACAAAAUUUUGCCUCUCAGGGGUGAACAAAUCAUUAAGCUGAUUUGAAAAGCAUCUAUUUCACUUGUCAAUCUGGAAUGGGGUAAAUAAAUGAAUGGCCUGUGUAAAUAAAUGAAUGGCCUUUCUAGAAGCAGGCAUAUAUCUCAUGAGUUGUGCCAAAGCUCAUGUGUAUGCUGUGUGAAAGCCAUGUUUAUGGAUGGAUAUAAGAUGAUGGAGCACUAAUAGCUGACUGCAUUGUUGUUAUUUUUUUCAGGGGUUAUAGAUACUAUUUCCAAUAUCUCAGUUUUUCACUGUCUCAGCCUGCCAUGUCAUCUGCAAGAAGUACUGCGGUGAUUUGUCAUUUAAGGCCUGACUCCAUAGAAAAGAUUACAGCCCUUUUUGCUCCUACCAGAUGUUCUGUACAUACUUUUAUGGAAACUAAGGAAGUAAUGUAAGUAAAAAAAGAUAUUGUUAGUCCUUAAACUCCAGAUUAAACCAUUUGCUGCUCUCUCAGUUUGUAGAUCUGAAUGAUCUUUGUGAUGUUACUAAAUUAAUUUUUCUUGUUUCUUGUACAGCUGCCAGUUAAGUUGAACAACCUCAGGUACUAAGCAAAAGAAAUAGCAAAAGAAAUAUUUAAAUGCAGAGUGUCUUCUGUAGUUGGGCACAGCUUGUAUUGUCUGUGAGACUAUGACAUGUUCAAUAAUUUAUACUUAUCUUAAAGUUCUGUUGAUUAGAUUUACUUUGGAUGCAACUUAAUUUGUCACUAAAUUCAAACGUGGGUUGUUGUGAUACCAGAAAGAGGUUUCCACACAAGUUGUUCUAAUGCUUUUUGGUAGUGGUAUUUAUUGCACUGUAUGUGUAUUGCAUUAAAAGCAAAUAGUCUAAUGUCUCUCUGAUAGUUCAAGAAUUCCACUGCAAUAUCCUUUUUUUUUUACUAUACAAAUAUAAUAAUGCCUGGGACCAACUCAUGAACCAGUUUCCUUUAAUCUGUAGGAUGCCCAUAGACAACAUGAACGUUACUUUCGUCCUGUUUUACUGUGUUACCAGCAAUCAUAUAUUAAAAUAUUAGAGCUGGUAGCAGCCAGUAGUUAAUAAUACCUUGAAGAAGGAAGUAGGGAUUUCUUUUUAAAUCUUCUUAUAAGGUGGGCAUCAUAGAGUCCUUUGAAUGGUCAUUGAGUGAUUUUGAUGCAGAUGCCUACCACCACAAGAUGAAAAGGAUGUUGGUGCCAUGGCAAUAUGAUGUGUAGUCAUGCAAAGGGGCCUGCCAUCCUUGUUCAAGGUCACAGGGGGGUGGCAGAAAGCAUUACUGACAUUGCAGCCUGUUAUUAUCUGUAGUGCCUUUGGGAAGAGAUUGACAAGCAGGACGUUGUGAGCUGUGUGAGUUUUUCUGAUUACUUACUGCAGUUUUCAGUCAGGAGAUCGUGUGUUUCUUCUUUUGUGUAAUCUUGGCGCUUGUCUACCCAUCUAUAAGUCAGUGAUAACUUGGUCUUUGAGGUUUCUUCUGCCAUUGCUCUGCUCUGAAAGUUUGUCGUGAAGUUUCCAUGUUAGAUGAUUCCUUCUUUAUUCCUAUUUGCCAAGAGCAUCAUUCUCAUUGGUGUCUAUAUUAUGCUGCUUUUUCUCUCAUUAUGCAAAGUUCCAUGUAUUCCUUUCUCUUCAUAAUGUGAGAAAGGUCAUAGGUACCCACGGGUGUGAUAUCUCUCUAUGACAGUUGAAAAUGUCAAUGUGAAAUAAAGAAUUUGUCUGCAUUAAUAUCCACUGGGGGAAUAAAGCCUGAAACUAGGAAAACUUUUGACUUGUAAUGAAAAUUACACUAUUUAUGUUCAUUUAAACUAAACUUAGCCUUUUGGCACUGAAAACAUCUGCAGCUGGAGUUUUUGCAUGCUAUAAAUUGCUGUUUGUGUUGUCAUUUCAGCCCUUAUGGAUCUAUUUCAAUUUAAUCUCCAGAAAAUAUUUUGCUUUUCAAAUUUAAAGUUUUCAAGCUCACAGUUUGGGUCUUAUAUCCUCAGAAGAUGCCUGGACAAAAGAAAAUAGCAUACCGUUUAAUACUAUUGGUGCUAUUUAGUACUUUGCAUAUUUAUUUGGGUUUUUGUAUUCUAAGAGUGUUUUGAAAACAACAAUUAUUUCUAGAACCCCUUUUUGGGAAAUUGUAUAGUAUUAUUACUAUUAUGUGGAGUACAAAAUUAAAAUAGAAGUGGACAUUUUCUCACAAGAAAAUUGCUAAAGUUCCUAAGGUGGUGAGCUUGGAACUCAUGGAGUUGGUACCCUGAAGUCCCUUUCAAUAGAUUAUUACAUCUAACAGAAUGAAGUUUGAAUAAAAGAAGUUCCUCUGCAUUCUGCAGUGGUAGACUUGUGGCAGAAGUUGUGACUAUUGAUUUGGUGACACUUUGACUUGACAAAGAAGGAGUUGAGAUACAUCUAUAAGCUCAAAUACACACAAUCUGCAAGUAGCUUCAUAUAUAUUUCAAGAGACUGGGAUAGAAGCCAGUUUUAUUCUGGCAGCCAUGUAAGACUGUACAAAGCCUGAGGUAAGUCAUUCAUCUUCACAUCGUGACCAUGUAGGCAUGUUUGCAAAGAGAAGGACUUGUUUACAAGGGGAUGGAUUGUACACAGAGCAGUGACUAACUCCAGCUAGGAUCGAAGGAAUUUCUUAUGUGACUGUGAGAAUCACGUGUGGCACAGAGCUAGUGCUCUAGAGAAAUUAAUCUCCUUGGCAGUUCAUCAUUGCAAAACUGUUUCUGUGCAUUUUUAGAUGGCUGCAUAUUUUAACACUAUUACAGGAAUCUGCUGUAUCAUUAAUCAUAUUUGGAUUUUUUUUUCCUGGAGCCUUGGCUGUUGUAAAGUAGUGAAAAUACCUGGUAAAGCAUGAUCACAUCAUCCAUUACUGUUCACAUAUAAAUGGUUUUGAUAAGAUUUGAGAGAAGAUGAGCCAAAAUCCCAUAUUGUUUUCUGCAAAAGUGAAGCUUACAGGUAACUCUGGAAAAAAAACCCAGGCUUUGUGUAUGAAAAAAAGUGGUCUUUGUCAGCUUUUAAAAACAGGCAUGAAAUUUUGUUAAAUGUUAGUGACAAGCUCCUACCUAAGUCAACAAAGUCGUUUGGUGUAUGAACAAAUUGUUCAGAUUCCUUUAUGUGGAGCAGUGUUUAUCUAAAAUUUGGAUUCCAUGAGCCUGGGACUAAAUGUCAGUGGUAAAGUGGUCUCAUAAUAAAACUUUCUUCUUAGAGAGUUGCAAAAGAUAUUUCUGUUAAUUAUGGCAAGUUCAAUCAAUUAUAGAUGUACAAUAUUUUGAGUAGAUACAUGUUUUUCCAAAAAUGCUUAAAUGAAAUACAAAAAAUAGUAAGUAAUUUUUGCUAUCAUUUCUUGUGUUUAAUUAAGCAGAUUUAUAUUAAAAUCUCUGUCUGCCUCCUAAACCUUGCAUCUCUGGAUUUUCACUUAAGGUAAAAUCUGGCAGAUGAACAGAAACAUUUUUUAUAUUUUUGUUUCAGAGUAAAACUGUAAAAACAUGUAAAGAUGUGGACUAGACGUGAGUAUAAGUAGAAAAAGACAAGGAGGAGAUUGGAGAUGAUCGCUUUCAAAGAUCAAGAGGAUUUCCCUGAAAAACUCUUUACCCAUUUUCUGAGACAAUUUAAAAAUAUAUUAGCAAAAACAAGGGCAAAACUAUCUGAGAGUACAGCCAGUCAUCUGUAUUUGCUACAGUAACAGUGCUGUUAGCAGAUUUUCAGAUAAAUAAUUUCCUGCUUAGUAGUUUGUGGAUUUCUUCUUUUCUUAGUGGUAUUUUCAAAGAUCAAGACAUUACAAGUCUUCUUUUUUUUUAUUUUGCCAUUUGUCUCCCACCUCCCCUCUAGUAAGUUGCAAAUUAAUAGUAUGAACAUAUUCCAUUUGCUCCCUUUUAUAUUGCCAUCAGUAUUUUUGUUUUUUUCCUUUUGCUUUUGUAUCCCGUCUUUGAUUCUCAUUUUCUCCAUCUUGAUAUAGUAGCAUAUAGAAAAGUUAUAUGAAAAAUAUUCUUUCUUAAAAGGUAGCUACUUUAGAACAGUAACUUCCAGCAUGUAAGGCAUUAAAAAAUGCUAUCAGAGACCAACUCUUCCUAUGCUGUAUGAGGAGAGGCUGAGAUCACUUGAUCUGUUCAGCCUGGAGAAGGGGAGACUGAGAGGAGACCUCAUUGAAGUCUUCAGCAUCCUCACAUAGAAAAGCAAAAGAGCAGGCACUGAUCUCUUCUCUGUGGUGACCAGAGACAGGACCCAAGGGAAUCACCUGAAGUUGUGUCAGGGGCAGGUUAGGUUGGAUCUUGGGAAAAGGUUCUUCACCCAGAGGGUGGUUGGGCGCUGGAAGAGCUCCCAGGGAAGUGGUCACAGCACAUAAGUGGCCAUUGCCAGAGUUCAAGAUGCUUGUAGACAAUGUUCUCAGGCUCAUGGUGUCACUCUUGGGGCUGUCCUCUGCAGGGGCAGGAGUUUUACAUGGUGACCCUUGUGGGACCCUUCCAACUCAGCAUAUUCUAUGAUUCUAUGCAGCCAGUCACCUUGAUGCAAAAAUUAGAAUUCAUGAUGGAAUUUAAAACAUUCUCUAUUUCUCUAGAGCUUCUAUCCUGUGAAUAGGAAAAAGGCAAUCCUUUAAUAGUUGAAACAAUAUUGUAGGACUUUUUCUCUAUAUGCUGUACAUAUGAAAUACUUGAAACCACAAGUUUUUGUUAAUGGUUUUUUAAAAACACUCACAGUAAAAGCCAUAAGCUGAGCCUCUUCCAAAAUUUCAGUUGAAAUACUGGUUAAAAAUGGAAUAAAAAUAGGGAAAUGAAAUCAUGCUCCAUGAGGAUGUCUUUUUGCUUUAUGUGCCUCAAAUAUCCAGUCUCAGAGGCAGUUAAAAAGUCAAAGAGUAUGGCUAAUUCCUGGCACUGAUAAAAAGGCUAAGGAAGCAGAUGUUCUGAUGCCAUAUAUCAAAAA